rnacentral:rRNA from 1 species
UACGUAGGGUGCGAGCGUUGCCCGGAUUUAUUGGGCGUAAAGGGCGCGUAGGCGGCUCGGCACGUCCGUUGUGAAAUCGCCCGGCUCAACUGGGCGGGGUCAGCGGAUACGGUCGAGCUUGAGCAAGCUAGGGGGUAAUGGAAUUCCCGGUGUAGUGGUGGAAUGCGUAGAUAUCGGGAGGAACACCAGUGGCGAAGGCGGUUACCUGGGGCUUUGCUGGACGCUGAUGCGCGAAAGCGUGGGGAGCGAGUCCGG